UGCGUGGCCGACGACUGCAGUGGCCAGUGGGCCGGGGAUCCCUCUCCCUCUUCUUCUCUACUACUAUCGCUUUCUCCUUUGCUUCUUCUUUCACUUCUCUGUGAUUUGUUUCUCCGUUCAGUUGGCUGCUCCUCUGUAGCUCCAACAUUGAUUCCGGCGCUCGACAAUGUGUACUUCACGCUCGUAUCAUUGGAGGCUCAAGAUCAGAUCAAGUUUUCGUCCUUUCAAUUUUGCUUCUGUUCAUGUUCUUUUCUUUUUCACGGAGUCUUCACAUUUAGACUGGUUUUGUACUUUUCUAAUUAAUCUGGUGAUACUGUCGCUGCUUGCUUUCCUCUCCCCUCUUCUUUCUUAUCUUCUUGCCUGCAGCUUUUGCAACUUAGCUGUACAAUAUACCUAUGCAUAUAUGGUUAUUAGCUUGAUUUACCUUUUGAAUACAUGGUCGUGCCUUCAGAUUUGAUUUGUUUCUUCCUUUGAUUUUAAUCUCGAUCUGAUGUUUCUCCUCAUUGUGCCUCCUUUGGUGCGGGCUGAAUUGAGAUUUGUAUGAUUCCAGUCCUCAUCUGUUUUCUCAGAGAUACAUUACAAUUUGCUUGCUACGUUUGCUGUGGUUGACGGUGUCUGCAACAACAACACUACAGUUGCAGAUCUUCAGUAGGAAGUUCACAGAGAUGCUCUGGUGGUUGGGGCUGAAGCUCUGAAAGUGACGGAAGAGAUACUAGAGUGGUGCUGCUGAGGUGAAUAAAGGAACACAUCUUGGCACCGCAUCAUGCCAAGCUUAUCACCAUUAAGGAAGCAGAAACCCUCAUUUCCGCAUCACAAAGCAGUGAUGCCCAGAAAACAACAUUUAUAUUGCCUCAACCCUGCUAACUAGAGUAUAUAUGCAGCACCUUUGCCUCGACAAUAAAUCUACUCUGCCAUUCUUACAUCAUUUGACUCUAUACAACGCUUGUCGUAGACAGCUUGAUGCCUAGAUCAUUUCAAAAACUGACGCAUCUCUCACAGGGAAGAUGUAUUAAACAGCAGCACAAUACAUCCCCCCACAUUACAAACAGACCCCUGGAAAAAUCAAGAAUUACAAGUAAGUCCCUAAGGCUACUGUGCUUCUUCCCCCACUCCAGGUUCCUGUUUGUCUCCUCCACCACCUCGUUGAUCCACCACCUCCCAUCUCGGCAAGGAACUCCAAGCAUUGGAAGAGCCGCAAAACGCAACGCCCAGUCCCCAACCAAGCGCAUCAACACCAUUGAACGCCCAUGCUUAAUUUCUUAUUUACUAUGCUCUUCCAAUUCUUUUUGCACAUAGCAUGUCUCCUGCCACCAUUACCUGCUCGAUCUGUUAACCACGCUUCUAAUAAUCGGGUUGAUGCCUAGAUUGUUCCACAAAAUGAUGUCUGUUUUCCAGGUCCGCGUGCGAUAGCACGCGUCAUGCAC